CUUGAAGGAAACUUCAGAGCUUCAAGCAAGCAGAGCUUGCUUGAUGGAGGGGAGCGGCAGACGGGUGAGUAACGCGUGGGAAUCUACCCAUCACUACGGAACAACUCCGGGAAACUGGAGCUAAUACCGUAUACGUCCUUCGGGAGAAAGAUUUAUCGGUGAUGGAUGAGCCCGCGUUGGAUUAGCGAGUUGGUGGGGUAAUGGCCUACCAAGGCGACGAUCCAUAGCUGGUCUGAGAGGAUGAUCAGCCACACUGGGACUGAGACACGGCCCAGACUCCUACGGGAGGCAGCAGUGGGGAAUAUUGGACAAUGGGCGCAAGCCUGAUCCAGCCAUGCCGCGUGAGUGAUGACGGCCCUAGGGUUGUAAAGCUCUUUCGCAGGUGAAGAUAAUGACGGUAACCUGAGAAGAAGCCCCGGCUAACUUCGUGCCAGCCGCCGCGGUAAAAC
rnacentral:rRNA from 1 species